rnacentral:rRNA from 1 species
UCCUACGGGCGGCUGCAGUGGGGAAUAUUGGACAAUGGGCGCAAGCCUGAUCCAGCAAUGCCGCGUGAGUGAUGAAGGCCUUAGGGUUGUAAAGCUCUUUUACCCGGGAAGAUAAUGACUGUACCGGGAGAAUAAGCCCCGGCUAACUCCGUGCCAGCAGCCGCGGUAAUACGGAGGGGGCUAGCGUUGUUCGGAAUUACUGGGCGUAAAGCGCACGUAGGCGGUUUUGUAAGUUAGAGGUGAAAGCCCGGAGCUCAACGCCGGAACUGCCUUUAAGACUGCAUCGCUAGAAUCGUGGAGAGGUGAGUGGAAUUCCGAGUGUAGAGGUGAAAUUCGUAGAUAUUCGGAAGAACACCAGUGGCGAAGGCGACUCACUGGACACGUAUUGACGCUGAGGUGCGAAAGCGUGGGGAGCAAACAGGAUUAGAUACCCCGGUAGUC